UACGUAGGGGGCAAGCGUUGUCCGGAUUUAUUGGGCGUAAAGAGCUCGUAGGCGGCUUGUUGCGUCGGCUGUGAAAACCCAUGGCUCAACCGUGGGCUUGCAGCCGAUACGGGCAGGCUAGAGUUCGGUAGGGGAGACUGGAAUUCCUGGUGUAGCGGUGAAAUGCGCAGAUAUCAGGAGGAACACCGGUGGCGAAGGCGGGUCUCUGGGCCGAUACCGACGCUGAGGAGCGAAAGCGUGGGGAGCGAACAGG
rnacentral:rRNA from 1 species